rnacentral:misc_RNA from 1 species
UCGCGGCUUAUCACCGGCAGUCCCCUUAGAGUGCCCAACUGAAUGAUGGCAACUAAGGGCGAGGGUUGCGCUCGUUGCGGGACUUAACCCAACAUCUCACGACACGAGCUGACGACAGCCGUGCAGCACCUGUGCACGCUCCCUUGCGGGCACUUUUCUGUUUCCAGAAAAUUCGCCAGAUGUCAAACCCAGGUAAGGUUCUUCGCGCAGCAUCGAAUUAAACCACAUGCUCCACCGCUUGUGCGGGCCCCCGUCAAUUCCUUUGAGUUUCAGCCUUGCGGCCGUACUCCCCAGGCGGGGCACUUAAUGCGUUAGCGACGGCACCCAGGGGGUCGCUCCCCCAGGCACCUAGUGCCCAUCGUUUACGGCGUGGACUAC